UUGACAUCUGCCCAGAGCCGCCGACCCCUGAGACCAACAUCUGCCAGGUAAGUAGUAAAGGAACUAUUUUAUUUGCUGAAACUGAGUUAAUUAAUGAUAAUGAGCUACAGAACUAUAGUAAGUUGAUCCCAUAACUAAUCGUAUCGCUCUUCAUCAGGAGGAACCAGAGCAGAUUGCUGAGCCUGGCGAGGAGAUUGAGGAGCGCCCAGAAACACCCGGGGCUCAGACUCGCCAGGAGGAACCAGCUGAGACUCCCACUGACACUAACACCUGUCAGGUAAGUAAAAGGGAAGGGAGACAUAUUGUGAAAAUGGCGCCACUCAGUAUUAUAUUACUU